rnacentral:rRNA from 1 species
CCUACGGGUGGCAGCAGUGGGGAAUAUUGCACAAUGGGGGAAACCCUGAUGCAGCGACGCCGCGUGAGUGAAGAAGUAUCUCGGUACGUAAAGCUCUAUCAGCAGAGAAGAAAACGACGGUACCUGACUAAGAAGCCCCGGCUAACUCCGUGCCAGCAGCCGCGGUAAUACGUCGGGGGCAAGCGUUAUCCGGAUUUAAUGGGUGUAAAGGGGGUGUAGACGGCAACACAAGUCUGGAGUGAAAUUCCGGGGCUUAACCCCGGAACUGCUUUGGAAACUGGGCGGCUGGAGUGCAGGAGGGGUAAGCGGAAUUCGUGGUGUAGCGGUGAAAUGCGUAGAUAUUAGGAGGAACACCGGUGGCGAAGGCGGCUUACUGGACUGUAACUGACGUUGAGGCUCGAAAGCGUGGGGAGCGAACAGGAUUAGAUACCCCUGUAGUC